rnacentral:rRNA from 1 species
AGAGUGAACGCUGGCGGUAGGCCUAACACAUGCAAGUCGAACGGCAGCACAGUGGUAGCAAUACCAUGGGUGGCGAGUGGCGGACGGGUGAGGAAUACAUCGGAAUCUACCUCGUUCGUGGGGGAUAACGUAGGGAAACUUACGCUAAUACCGCAUACGCCCUUCGGGGGAAAGCCGGGGAUCGCAAGACCUGGCGCGGAUAGAUGAGCCGAUGUCGGAUUAGCUAGUUGGUGAGGUAAUGGCUCACCAAGGCGACGAUCCGUAGCUGGUCUGAGAGGAUGAUCAGCCACACUGGAACUGAGACACGGUCCAGACUCCUACGGGAGGCAGCGAGUGGGGAAUAUGGACAAGUGGGCGCAAGCCUGAUCCAGCCAGUACCGCGUGGUGAAGAAGGCCGUUCGGUUGUAGAGUCCCGUUUUGGUAGGAAAGAAAG